UACGUAGGUGGCGAGCGUUGUCCGGAUUUACUGGGCGUAAAGCGCGCGCAGGCGGGCUGGUCAGUCCGGGGUGAAAUCUCACGGCUCAACCGUGAGCGGUCCCCGGAUACUGCCAGUCUUGAGGUGUCUAGAGGAGAGCGGAAUUCCCGGUGUAGUGGUGGAAUGCGUAGAUAUCGGGAAGAACACCAGUGGCGAAAGCGGCUCUCUGGAACGGUACUGACGCUGAGACGCGAAAGCGUGGGGAGCGAACAGG
rnacentral:rRNA from 1 species